GAGCCUUGAUGUGUAGGAUAGGUGGGAGGCUUUGAAGCGUGGACGCCAGUCUGCGUGGAGCCAACCUUGAAAUACCACCCUUUAAUGUUUGAUGUUCUAACGUAGGCCCCUAAUCGGGGUUGCGGACAGUGUCUGGUGGGUAGUUUGACUGGGGCGGUCUCCUCCCAAAGAGUAACGGAGGAGCACGAAGGUUAGCUAAUCCUGGUCGGACAUCAGGAGGUUA
rnacentral:rRNA from 1 species